UACGGGAGGCAGCAGUGGGGAUAUUGCACAAUGGGCGAAAGCCUGAUGCAGCUAUGCCGCGUGUAUGAAGAAGGCCUUAGGGUUGUAAAGUACUUUCAUCGGGGAGGAAAAAACAAAACUAAUAAUUUUAUUUCUUGACGUUACCCGAAAAAGAAGCACCGGCUAACUCCGUGCCAGCAGCCGCGGUAAUACGGAGGGUGCUAGCGUUAAUCAGAAUUACUGGGCGUAAAGAGCACGUAGGUGGUUUUUUAAGUCAGAUGUGAAAUCCCUGGGCUUAACCUAGGAACUGCAUUUUGAAACUGAAAUACUAGAGUAUCGUAGAGGGAGGUAGAAUUCUAGGUGUAGCGGUGAAAUGCGUAGAUAUCUGGAGGAAUACCUGUGGCGAAAGCGGCCUCCUAAACGAAUACUGACACUGAGGUGCGAAAGCGUGGGGAGCAAACAGGGAUUAGAUACC
rnacentral:rRNA from 1 species